CAAUUGAGACAGGUGGUGCAUGGUUGUCGUCAGCUCGUGUCGUGAGAUGUUGGGUUAAGUCCCGCAACGAGCGCAACCCUUUGUGUUUAGUUGCAAACAGGUCAAGCUGUGCACUCUAGACAGACUGCCGUGGACAACACGGAGGAAGGUGGGGAUGACGUCAAAUCAUCAUGCCCCUUAUGAUCUGGGCUACACACGUGCUACAAUGGCCGGUACAACGGGCAGCGAAGGAGCGAUCCGGAGCGAAUCCUAAAAAGCCGGUCCCAGUUCGGAUUGCAGGCUGAAACUCGCCUACAUGAAGUUGGAGUUGCUAGUAAUCGCGAAUCAGAAUGUCGCGGUGAAUGCGUUCCCGGGUCUU
rnacentral:rRNA from 1 species